CACGUAGGGCGCGAGCGUUGUCCGGAAUUAUUGGGCGUAAAGAGCUCGUAGGCGGUUUGUCGCGUCUGCUGUGAAAUCCCGAGGCUCAACCUCGGGUCUGCAGUCGAUACGAGCAAACUAGAGUGUUGCAGGGGAGGCUGGAAUUCCUGGUGUAGCGGUGAAAUGCGCAGAUAUCAGGAGGAACACCGGUGGCGAAGGCGGGUCUCUGGGCAACAACUGACGCUGAGGAGCGAAAGCGUGGGGGAGCGAACAGG
rnacentral:rRNA from 1 species